AUGUAAUUGAGGAAAAUAUGUAAUAAAAAAAAUUAAAAAAAACAAAGUACACUGCCAAGAAAAUUAGAAUAAUCCUGAGUAUUUUUCCAAAAUGUAAAUAAUAUUAUCAUUUUUUAAACUGUUAUAAAAAUAAAUCCAUGCUCUUUGCAACAAUUAAAAAUUAAGAACAUAGAAAAUUCUACUAGUCAGAGAUAAUCACUAUGAAUAACUUUCUCUGUGUUUUUGGAUAUUUUACUGGACAUAACCAUCUAUGUGUAUCAGCCUUUUUUUUUUCUGAUUUAACUUAAAAGUAGGGGAUUGUGCAUAUUAUUUAAAUUCUCUUUGUGUAUCAAGAGACUAUGGCUUUAGUUCUACUACAUUUAACUAUAUUAACCUGUAUUCAGCUUUGUAUUUGAUGAUUCUGGGCAGCAAACACAGGGUCUUUCAGAUGAAAGACGAGUGCUCCAUCCUGAGCUUCAUCCCAAGUCUGUCUCAAAAUUCUGAUGUCUGCAUUGUAUCUCAUUUAUGAUUAAAUCAUAAUUCAUUUAAAGGAGUUUGAAGACUACUUAAAUUACUUCAAGCUUCUAUUUAAUGUGUUCACAAAUAAUAUUUUAAUGAGAAUGUUCCAAGACAUGUCUGGAUACUUAUCUAGUUUCUUUUUUGUGUUAAGUGCUUAAAGGGGAAUUAAAUAUUUAAAGAUAAGGUUUUGUAUUGUUAAUUUCCAUAGGUCAGAUCUCUGAAAGGUCAACAAUUGGACCAAAAGUAGGCAUACCCCUUAGAUUCUAAAGGCUUAUCCCACAUUGUCUCCCAAACAGUUAACUCAAUAAACCUCAGCACAGCAUGGAGAGGUAUUGCUGUGACCCAGCAUGCAGGAGGCUGAGGUAGAGAGAACUGUGUUAGCUCCAGGCCAUCUCAGAUUAAUGAGUGAAUUCCUGGUCAGCUUGGGCUAAGAGUGAAACUAUGAUUCAAAAUGAAGAAUCAGAAACAAAAUCACUUCUAUUACCCUCCAUUAAGAAAGGAAGCUUGAUGGUAGUCUAUAAUAAGCAUCUCUAAGUGUCAUAAACUGUAUUUUAAAAUGCUAUUCUGAUAGAGACACUUGGACAGAGCAUUCUUUUAUCUCUACUUUUCUGGCUGUGUGCUACAGAAUUUAUAUACAUCACAUUUUUAUAAUACUUUUUUAAGGUUUGAUAGAAUUUUAAAAAAUGCUCCUUUCCCUUUCCUUAUCCCCAAACCUCUUCAUACAACCCCUCUUGCUUUCUGUCAGUGACCCCUCUCUCUCUUUAAUUGUGACAAAUACGAAUGUGUGUAAUUGGAGAGCACUCCAUGGAGAAGACUAUUUCUCUAUCUUUCAGUGUUACCCAGUUGCCUGUAGUGUUUGUCUAAAGCUGAGACCCUACACACACCUUCCCUUUCAUGAUGGCAUGUCCACUGAAGUCACCAUUGCUCCAAUCAGUCAGUCGUGUUAAUGAGACUUACAGUUUUUAUUUAAAUUACCAAUUGAUUUUGAAUGUAUUAAAACAAUACAAAGUACUUUCAUAAUUUUCCAUGUAAUAAGACUGUCUAGACAUUCUCAUGUUCUUUGUACCCACGCAGGGUUCUGUCUGGUACCCCACAUGUCAGCUUAAAGGACUUCUUUAACUAUUUUUAUCAUUCAGGUCAAUGAAUGAUAAAACUCCCCUAGCAUGCUGCUGUACAUCUGAAAAAGCCAUUGUAUUAGUUUUUUAGAGAAAUUGUCACUGGGUAAAAAAUGUCUAAGGUUGAGCUGAUGAUGCUUCUUUGAACGAUCUGUACAGUUCCUUUCUGGGACACAGAGAUGCCAUCUAAAAACCUGCUGACACCCUUACUGAAUCAAAGCUUCUGGAAUUGAAACAGGUUGAAUAUCUUUUCCUUCAAAGAUUAAGUAAUCCUUCUAGAUUUGAGAAGCAGAACAAGCAACACUUGUCCCUAUUUGAACAUUGUAGCUGUAUUUUCACCCAAUGAAUUAUGGAUUUCAAUCAGAAAGACUGAUUUUUCUCAAUAACAGCACUGAUGAGUGUGAGUUCACGGGCCUCGUUUUGUAAUGGAAGCCCACUGUCACAACCUUGAUCAUGUUGUGAACAUGUCAGAAAAUAGUUUGGACAGUAGUGGGCUCUUUUCUGCUUCACCAUUCAUCAACCUAGAGCCUCUACAUAUUCUUUUCAAGGAACUCAGCUCUACACUAAUGUGUUUAGCAUCUCUACAGAGGAGUUCUCUGGGCACCUUUGUGAUACCUGUAUGCUUCCUCAGAGUAAUGUCUGACAUUUUCUGGAAUUUCAACAGUCUUAUUGUUAAUAAUGCAGAUUCAUAUAUAAUUAUAAAUCUAGAUUCUGUAUAAUAGAGAAAACAUGCAGCAUUUUUAUCUUUCUCAAUAUGUUUUUCAGUUACAUACAUUUUCUUGGCAUUGGAAUGAUUUCUUUUUUAUUAAAUACUUUCUUUAUUUACAUUUC
rnacentral:lncRNA from 1 species